rnacentral:rRNA from 1 species
GCGGCGUGCCUAAUACAUGCAAGUCGUACGCUAGCCGCUGAAUUGAUCCUUCGGGUGAAGUGAGGCAAUGACUAGAGUGGCGAACUGGUGAGUAACACGUAAGAAACCUGCCCUUUAGUGGGGGAUAACAUUUGGAAACAGAUGCUAAUACCGCGUAACAACAAAUCACACAUGUGAUCUGUUUGAAAGGUCCUUUUGGAUCGCUAGAGGAUGGUCUUGCGGCGUAUUAGCUUGUUGGUAGGGUAGAAGCCUACCAAGGCAAUGAUGCGUAGCCGAGUUGAGAGACUGGCCGGCCACAUUGGGACUGAGACACUGCCCAAACUCCUACGGGAGGCUGCAGUAGGGAAUUUUCCGCAAUGCACGAAAGUGUGACGGAGCGACGCCGCGUGUGUGAUGAAGGCUUUCGGGUCGUAAAGCACUGUUGUAAGGGAAGAAUAACUGAAUUCAGAGAAAGUUUUCAGCUUGACGGUACCUUACCAGAAAGGGAUGGCUAAAUACGUGCCAGCAGCCGCGGUAAUACGUAUGUCCCGAGCGUUAUCCGGAUUUAUUGGGCGUAAAGCGAGCGCAGACGGUUUAUUAAGUCUGAUGUGAAAUCCCGAGGCCCAACCUCGGAACUGC